AUUCCAUAACAUUAUUUUACAUUUUAUUCUUAUGGAUUUGGUCCGUAAUUGGCCUGUUAAGACAGGCCAAUGUUGCUGACAUUGUUGAAUGCGGACUACACAAUCACCUUGGUCUCGUGGGACCUCACACAUUUAUUAUUGUUUGUCUUUUUGACAGUUUGUUUUUAGCCUAUCAUAUUACGUUUACUUGAUUUGGGAUCUUGUGAGGAUCACCGGGAUAUCGUCAAAACAUCAGGAUUUGGACGUGUUAAUUAUGUUCGGCAUGUGGGUCCGUAAAGCAGAGGUUCGGGAUUUAGAGAUUGAUUCAACUAUUUGAUUAUAACUAAAAAUAAGCGUACUUAUUUAACAUAUUGAAUAUAUAACAUAAAGCGGUUAACAAUAUUAAGCUAAUAACUAAAAUUACAAUCCUCGACAGAUAGUGAGUUCCGCCGUGAUCUUCCACACAUAUCUGAGAGAGAGUUUUGCCGAUCAUAUAUCAAUAAUUCAUCUUCAAGUAAUCCAUAUACUAAACACGAAAUGUCUAAAUGUUCACAAGUUCGUUUUGCACAGUUCACCAUAUUUACAGUCUUCAUUGACCGUCGUCAUAAUCGUCCGCCUUUGUCCUCCGUUAUUCUUCGUCGAUCAUCAUCGUCGUCCCUCGUCUAUUCGUCGUUGAUCGUCAUCGUCGUCCCUGCAAGGGAGUACCUUUUGCGAGUCUCCGGCUCUGACAGUCUUUUACACCACUGUUCCGUUUGUCUUUGUCGGCACUAUAAUUUAUUUAUUUUUAUAUUUGUUAAUUACACAUUUUAAAAUUUUCACGUAAUGUCUGGUGCAGCCCCUGCGGGUGGGGGCCAGAAUUCACCCGACGUUUGGCCCGCGUGUUGUAAGAGGCGACUAAAGGGACCCCCAAUCUUAAAGGUGUGAGCU
rnacentral:lncRNA from 1 species